AUCCAACUGACGAAUCACAGAUAGAACGAAACGCGCGUCCUGUAU
rnacentral:hammerhead_ribozyme from 1 species